GGCCUUCGUCUUUGAUGGCGUAAACUUUGGUGCUUCUGACUUUGCAUAUUCUGCCUACUCAAUGGUAACAGUGGCUUUAUUCAGCAUUCUGUUCUUAUUCAUUCUUUCAUCAAGUUAUAAAUUCGUCGGAAUUUGGGUGGCUCUAACCAUCUAUAUGAGUCUCAGAGCUUUAGCAGGCUUCUGGAGGAUAGGAACUAGAACAGGGCCAUGGAAGUUUCUCAAGAGCUAGAUUAGUCUCUGUUAGAAUAUUAUAAUACGUGGAUACUCAUAUAGUAUAAAACUAUUUUUACUUGUUUUAGCGUCUAAA
rnacentral:misc_RNA from 1 species